CCUACGGGUGGCAGCAGUGAGGAAUAUUGGUCAAUGGACGAGAGUCUGAACCAGCCAAGUAGCGUGAAUGAUGACUGCCCUAUGGGUUGUAAACUGCUUUUACAUGGGAAUAAAACAGGGCAUUCAUACCCGCUUGUAGGUACCAUACGAAUAAGGAUCGGCUAACUCCGUGCCAGCAGCCGCGGUAAUACGGAGGGUCCGAGCGUUAUCCGGAUUUAUUGGGUUUAAAGGGAGCGUAGGUGGAUUGUUAAGUCAGUUGUGAAAAUUUGCGGCUCAACCGUUGAAUCGCAGUUGAAACUGGAAGUCUUGAGUUCAGUAGAGGCAGGCGGAAUUCGUGGUGUAGCGGUGAAAUGCUUAGAUAUCACGAAGAACUCCGAUUGCGAAGGCAGCUCACUGGACUGCAACUGACACUGAUGCUCGAAAGUGUGGGUAUCAAACAGGAUUAGAUACCCGAGUAGUC
rnacentral:rRNA from 1 species